GCACAAGCGGUGGAGCAUGUGGUUUAAUUCGAUGCAACGCGAAGAACCUUACCAGGUCUUGACAUCCCGAUGCUAUUUCUAGAGAUAGAAAGUUACUUCGGUACAUCGGUGACAGGUGGUGCAUGGUUGUCGUCAGCUCGUGUCGUGAGAUGUUGGGUUAAGUCCCGCAACGAGCGCAACCCCUAUUGUUAGUUGCCAUCAUUCAGUUGGGCACUCUAGCGAGACUGCCGGUAAUAAACCGGAGGAAGUGGGGAUGACGUCAAAUCAUCAUGCCCCUUAUGACCUGGGCUACACACGUGCUACAAUGGUUGGUACAACGAGUUGCGAGUCGGUGACGGCGAGCUAAUCUCUUAAAGCCAAUCUCAGUUCGGAUUGUAGGCUGCAACUCGCCUACAUGAAGUCGGAAUCGCUAGUAAUCGCGGAUCAGCACGCCGCGGUGAAUACGUUCCCGGGCCUU
rnacentral:rRNA from 1 species